rnacentral:rRNA from 1 species
CCUACGGGAGGCAGCAGUGGGGGAUAUUGCACAAUGGGGGGAACCCUGAUGCAGCGACGCCGCGUGGGUGAAGAAGCGCCUCGGCGCGUAAAGCCCUGUCAGCAGGGAAGAAAAUGACGGUACCUGAAGAAGAAGCCCCGGCUAACUACGUGCCAGCAGCCGCGGUAAUACGUAGGGGGCAAGCGUUAUCCGGAUUUACUGGGGGUAAAGGGGGCGCAGACGGCGAGGCAAGCCAGGGGUGAAAGCUCGGGGCCAAACCCGGAACUGCACUUGGAACUGGGUGGCUGGAGUACAGGAGGGGCAGGCGGAAUUCCUGGUGUUGGGGUGAAAUGCGUAGAUAUCAGGAGGAACACCGAUGGCGAAGGCGGCCUGCUGGACUGCAACUGACGUUGAGGCGCGAAAGCGUGGGGAGCAAACAGGAUUAGAUACCCGAGUAGUC